rnacentral:misc_RNA from 1 species
AAGUCGUAACAAGGUAACCGUAGGUGAACCUGCGGUUGGAUCAUUAGUGGUUUUUACGUAGCGCUGUUGUAGUGUUUCUGGGGGGUUUGGGGUUUGCUUAGGGUGUUGUUGGUUGUUUGUCUGUUUUUGUGCGAUGUCUUGUGCAGUGCCUUGUGCGGUGCCUGGCAGUACAAACGAUCGACGGCAACACUCGGACCAGACCCAAGCCCUUGCAGACAAUAGACGUCUUUGCUUGCUUUGAUGAAACCAAAUCAAAAACAACUUUUGACAACGGAUCUCUUGGCUCUC